rnacentral:rRNA from 1 species
GACGAACGCUGGCGGCGUGCUUAACACAUGCAAGUCGAACGGAAAGGCCCAGCUUGCUGGGUGCUCGAGUGGCGAACGGGUGAGUAACACGUGGGUGAUCUGCCCCUAACUUCGGGAUAAGCUUGGGAAACUGGGUCUAAUACCGGAUAGGACAAUCGUUUAGUGUCGGUUUUGGAAAGUUUUUUCGGUUAGGGAUGAGCCCGCGGCCUAUCAGCUUGUUGGUGGGGUAAUGGCCUACCAAGGCGUCGACGGGUAGCCGGCCUGAGAGGGUGGACGGCCACAUUGGGACUGAGAUACGGCCCAGACUCCUACGGGAGGCAGCAGUGGGGAAUAUUGCACAAUGGGCGCAAGCCUGAUGCAGCGACGCCGCGUGGGGGAUGACGGCCUUCGGGUUGUAAACCUCUUUCGACAGGGACGAAGCUUUGGUGACGGUACCUGUAGAAGAAGCACCGGCUAACUACGUG